rnacentral:rRNA from 1 species
AUGAACCCCGCCGCCUCCCUCUCUCCCACGCCGGCGCCGCCCUUGCCUCGCGCCGGCAGCUGCCAAACCCUGCACGGCGGCCUCCUCCCUCCCCUGCACUCCGGUCAACUUCCUCUUCGCACGACGACCUCCUCCCAACCCCACGCUCCGGCCGCCUUCCUCCCCGUGCUUCGGCCUCCUUCCUUCCCCGCCUCCGGUAGCCUUCCUCCCCGCGCUCCGGCCGCCUUCCUCGCCGCGCUCCGGCCUCCUCCCUCCCCCGACUCCGGUCACCUUCCUCCCCGCGCUCCGGCCGCCUUCCUCCCUGAGAUUCGCCCACCUUCCACCCCCGAGAUCCCAGCGCCGGCGCCCAACCCCUCCGUCUGUGAGCUAGGGGACUGGGACGCCCUCCUCGCCGCGGCGUCAUUGCUGGCCGUCAGCGGCGGAAGCGGGGUGGCGGCCGGGACCUUGUCGUGCUCAUCUCCGACUACUGUAAAGUAA